rnacentral:lncRNA from 1 species
AUACACUCAGUCUUCAGGAGGAGGCAUCCCCUCUGGGUACAGAACUUCCACCGUGGCUGCUUGCUCAGGAUAAACUGGUAGAACCAUGACUCAUUUUGUCAUUGGGACCACAGGAGGAGGGGCCAGAAGACAAUGAAGUGUGCGGUGAGCACUCUCACAUUUCGUUAGAUGCACCGUCUCUGAACCAGCUUACUCAGAACUUCAGGAUGGCGGUGUGCAGUUACCAACUGUUAAGUCAAAGAUUCUGGACUGUUUAGGCUGUGCCUCGGGAAAUCAUUGCCUCUAUGAAGCUGUCCAAGGCGAGCUUGAUAAGCCUCUGAAGGCACAGAAGAACUGUUUGGAGAGGGGCCUAUACAUCUCGAUCUACAGCUACAGCGUCAUAUGCUACCCCUCAGAAACAGACCUUUUAAUGAUUUCAUCCUGUCAAAAAUUGCAUAUUUCAAAACAUUAGAAAGUUGACUUGCACAAAUAUAAAACAAGCAUGGGUCAGGAUGCUUCACCGUGUGCUCCAUAAGCUACUCAUCUGAUGUUUCAUAGGAAGCAGAAGAAAUUCCCAGCAAAGUGACCUGUGUUGCAAGACUCAAAAGAGGGAGAGAGGGAGUUGGCUCAGCUCGUGAAGAGCUUGAUGGACAUGAAGACCUGAGCUUGGAUCUCCCAACAUCUUUGUGAAAGGACGGGCACAGCCCCUGAAUCUCCAGAGCUGUGACGAUGGAAGCAAUGGAUCCUCAGAGCUUGCUGGCCAGCCAACCUGCUUGAGUUCAGCUCUAGAUUCUGUGUGACCCUGACUAAAAAACUAAGGCGUGGAGUGACUGAAGAAGAGAUCUGAUGUCAACCACUUGUUCUUAUUUACACACACACACACACACACACACACACACACACACACACACACACACACACUCUUAAAUAAAAAUUAAAUUAUUUGUUGAAAAUGACAAAAAGAUGAACACCAUACAGUUAGAAGUGGCAGCUACCAAGGGACUUGUCUUGUGGUGCUCUUUUAUCAACAGUUUCUGAUUUCCUUUGACAUAGCAAGUGGCAGUCACAUGUUCCUGGGAGCCGGUUUCCAGUCACAAAUCCCAGUUCCCUUUCUCCCCGUUUUGUUCAGGUUCUGCCACUGUCUUGAGUAUGCUCUUUUGUGCUUACUAAAGCUGUGCUGUGUGGAAGAGUCAUCUCUUUGUUCCUUGUUCUUCAGUGGGCUGAGUGAUGGACCCCUCCCUCUUUACAGAUAAUAGAUCUGUGAGAAAUCUCACACCACUGGGGCCUUAUUUGGGCUUAGAGAGUUGCUGAUGUAGUUGAGGGGCUUGGGAGCAUAACACAAUGGUUAAUUUGGUUGUUGACUUGUUAGGAUCUGAAAUCACUUAGGAGAUAAACUUCUGGGUGUAUCUUUGAGGAAGAUUCUAGAUAGAGUUACGUGGGAUUAGAAGACUCAGUCUGACUGUGGAUUGUGGAGAAUUUUAGGACACAGUGCUAAAAAUGUCUCCUGGGAACCCAGUCUUCCUCUUAAACCAUGAAUGAAAACCUCUUUCUUAGGGUUGGCUGGCCAGCUCUUCACACAUUUCCUUGUACAUCAUUCUGCCGUUCGUGAGCACGGGAGCUUGCACUCACUGACCUCCAGUGCCUGGGCCACCUUCGUGCCUCAGUUGCUCAUUUUCUUGAGCAGUCUAGGGUUGUGUAAUCCCGAGAGUCUUGAGGCUGUUAGAUUAUUGCUGAUAGAGAAGAGGCCACCAAGGGGCGGAGACACAAGGAACCAUUCGUGUGGCAGGUGGUGAUCAGAGAGAGAAAGCAGAGCUAACGGUGGAAGAUUUGAGAUAUGGAACCUAGUAAUUAUAGAUUUUUUGCACAAAUUAUGAGACUGCUUUUUUUUUUAAUUUUUGAAAGAUAGUCUCAUUACAUUGCUCCUUCCUAUGCAGACCAGGUUGGCCUUGGACACAGAGAUUGGCCUGAUUCUGCUGGGACUAAGGCCACUAAACCUGGCGACAGUGAAAACUUUGUGCUUAAAAUCUAAGGUUUCUCCCUUUGGUAUCCUUGAUUUCCUUCUACACAGGAACGAUAUUUAGCAAGCACACAACACUCACAAUAUACUAAAUACAGUUCUAUGUGUUAUGUAAAUAACUUGCUUAGUUUCCGGGCAAACCUGUAAGGGGUAUCGUCACUGUCCACAUCGUACU